rnacentral:rRNA from 1 species
GACGAACGCUGGCGGCGUGCCUCAGACAUGCAAGUCGGACGCGAAAGUCCCCUUCGGGGGCGAGUAGAGUGGCGCACGGGUGAGUAACACGUAGGUAAUCUACCUUUGGAUGGGGGAAUAACAACCGGAAACGGUUGCUAAUACCGCAUAAUGCAGCGGCACCUAAUGGUGACAGUUGUUAAAGCGGGGGAUCGAAAGACCUCGCGUCUAAAGGAGGAGCCUGCGGCGGAUUAGCUAGUUGGUAAGGUAAGGCUUACCAAGGCUACGAUCCGUAACCGGCCUGAGAGGGCGGUCGGUCACACUGACACU